rnacentral:rRNA from 1 species
GAUGAACGCUGGCGGCGUGCCUAAUACAUGCAAGUCGAGCGAACAGACGAGGAGCUUGCUCCUUUGACGUUAGCGGCGGACGGGUGAGUAACACGUGGGUAACCUACCUAUAAGACUGGGAUAACUUCGGGAAACCGGAGCUAAUACCGGAUAAUAUUUCGAACCGCAUGGUUCGAUAGUGAAAGAUGGCUUUGCUAUCACUUAUAGAUGGACCUGCGCCGUAUUAGCUAGUUGGUAAGGUAACGGCUUACCAAGGCAACGAUACGUAGCCGACCUGAGAGGGUGAGCGGCCACACUGGAACUGAGACACGGUCCAGACUCCUACGGGAGGCAGCGGUAGGGAAGCUGCCGCAAUGGGCGAAAGCCUGACGGAGCAACGCCGCGUGAGUGAUGAAGGUCUUCGGAUCGUAAAACUCUGUUAUUAGGGAAGAACAAACGUGUAAGUAACUGUGCACGUCUUGACGGUACCUAAUCAGAAAGCCACGGCUAACUACGUG